rnacentral:rRNA from 1 species
CGUCUAUAUACGUAUAGCAUAUCAAUAAGCGGAGGAAAAGGAAACUAACUAGGAUUCCCUUAGUAACGGCGAGUGAAGCGGGAAGAGCUCAAAUUUGAAAUCUUCAAGGUUCUACCUUGACGAAUUGUAGUUUAAAGAAGUGCUUUUCUGUUAGAGGAGUAGCAAAAGUUCCUUGGAAUGGGACAUCAUAGAGGGUGAGAAUCCCGUAUUUGGUUAUUCUUUCUAGCUUUGUGAUACACUUUCAAAGAGUCGGAUUGUUUGGGAAUGCAGUCCAAAAUGGGUGGUAAAUUUCAUCUAAAGCUAAAUAUUGGCGAGAGACCGAUAGCGAACAAGUACCGUGAGGGAAAGAUGAAAAGAACUUUGAAAAGAGAGUUAAACAGUACGUGAAAUUGUCAAAAGGGAAGCGUUUGACACCAGUGUUGUUUUUCCGAAAAUCAAUUAAGAACGGCUUGAUUUUGUGUUGUAUUGACCUUAUCAGCUUUCUUCACUCUUUUUCGAGUCUUUCUUAAUGCACUUUUCGGUUAACAAGUCAACAUCAAUUUCUUUUGUUGUAAAAGGGUAUUUGGAAGGUGGCUUUCUUUUCGGAGAAAGUGUUUAUAGCCUUAUACCUCUACAAUCGGAGAGAUUGAGGUCUGCAGCGUAGAUCCUUCGGGGCUAGAUACACUUGUGCUAAGUUAUAGCUUUUCAUAGACAACUUGUUGACUAUGUUUAGUCAUGUAGCUUACCCGCUUGUGCUAUUUUACCUACGCUUAGGAUGUUGAGUCAUCACACAUCUCU